UUAAGCGACUAAGCGUACACGGUGGAUGCCCUGGCAGUCAGAGGCGAUGAAGGACGUGCUAAUCUGCGAUAAGCGUCGGUAAGGUGAUAUGAACCGUUAUAACCGGCGAUUUCCGAAUGGGGAAACCCAGUGUGAUUCGUCACACUAUCAUUAACUGAAUCCAUAGGUUAAUGAGGCGAACCGGGGGAACUGAAACAUCUAAGUACCCCGAGGAAAAGAAAUCAACCGAGAUUCCCCCAGUAGCGGCGAGCGAACGGGGAGGAGCCCAGAGCCUGAAUCAGUGUGUGUGUUAGUGGAAGCGUCUGGAAAGGCGCGCGAUACAGGGUGACAGCCCCGUACACAAAAAUGCACAUGCUGUGAGCUCGAUGAGUAGGGCGGGACACGUGGUAUCCUGUCUGAAUAUGGGGGGACCAUCCUCCAAGGCUAAAUACUCCUGACUGACCGAUAGUGAACCAGUACCGUGAGGGAAAGGCGAAAAGAACCCCGGCGAGGGGAGUGAAAAAGAACCUGAAACCGUGUACGUACAAGCAGUGGGAGCACGCUUAGGCGUGUGACUGCGUACCUUUUGUAUAAUGGGUCAGCGACUUAUAUUCUGUAGCAAGGUUAACCGAAUAGGGGAGCCGAAGGGAAACCGAGUCUUAACUGGGCGUUAAGUUGCAGGGUAUAGACCCGAAACCCGGUGAUCUAGCCAUGGGCAGGUUGAAGGUUGGGUAACACUAACUGGAGGACCGAACCGACUAAUGUUGAAAAAUUAGCGGAUGACUUGUGGCUGGGGGUGAAAGGCCAAUCAAACCGGGAGAUAGCUGGUUCUCCCCGAAAGCUAUUUAGGUAGCGCCUCGUGAAUUCAUCUCCGGGGGUAGAGCACUGUUUCGGCAAGGGGGUCAUCCCGACUUACCAACCCGAUGCAAACUGCGAAUACCGGAGAAUGUUAUCACGGGAGACACACGGCGGGUGCUAACGUCCGUCGUGAAGAGGGAAACAACCCAGACCGCCAGCUAAGGUCCCAAAGUCAUGGUUAAGUGGGAAACGAUGUGGGAAGGCCCAGACAGCCAGGAUGUUGGCUUAGAAGCAGCCAUCAUUUAAAGAAAGCGUAAUAGCUCACUGGUCGAGUCGGCCUGCGCGGAAGAUGUAACGGGGCUAAACCAUGCACCGAAGCUGCGGCAGUGACGCUUAUGCGUUGUUGGGUAGGGGAGCGUUCUGUAAGCCUGUGAAGGUGUGCUGUGAGGCAUGCUGGAGGUAUCAGAAGUGCGAAUGCUGACAUAAGUAACGAUAAAGCGGGUGAAAAGCCCGCUCGCCGGAAGACCAAGGGUUCCUGUCCAACGUUAAUCGGGGCAGGGUGAGUCGACCCCUAAGGCGAGGCCGAAAGGCGUAGUCGAUGGGAAACAGGUUAAUAUUCCUGUACUUGGUGUUACUGCGAAGGGGGGACGGAGAAGGCUAUGUUGGCCGGGCGACGGUUGUCCCGGUUUAAGCGUGUAGGCUGGUUUUCCAGGCAAAUCCGGAAAAUCAAGGCUGAGGCGUGAUGACGAGGCACUACGGUGCUGAAGCAACAAAUGCCCUGCUUCCAGGAAAAGCCUCUAAGCAUCAGGUAACAUCAAAUCGUACCCCAAACCGACACAGGUGGUCAGGUAGAGAAUACCAAGGCGCUUGAGAGAACUCGGGUGAAGGAACUAGGCAAAAUGGUGCCGUAACUUCGGGAGAAGGCACGCUGAUAUGUAGGUGAAGUCCCUCGCGGAUGGAGCUGAAAUCAGUCGAAGAUACCAGCUGGCUGCAACUGUUUAUUAAAAACACAGCACUGUGCAAACACGAAAGUGGACGUAUACGGUGUGACGCCUGCCCGGUGCCGGAAGGUUAAUUGAUGGGGUCAGCGCAAGCGAAGCUCUUGAUCGAAGCCCCGGUAAACGGCGGCCGUAACUAUAACGGUCCUAAGGUAGCGAAAUUCCUUGUCGGGUAAGUUCCGACCUGCACGAAUGGCGUAAUGAUGGCCAGGCUGUCUCCACCCGAGACUCAGUGAAAUUGAACUCGCUGUGAAGAUGCAGUGUACCCGCGGCAAGACGGAAAGACCCCGUGAACCUUUACUAUAGCUUGACACUGAACAUUGAGCCUUGAUGUGUAGGAUAGGUGGGAGGCUUAGAAGUGUGGACGCCAGUCUGCAUGGAGCCGACCUUGAAAUACCACCCUUUAAUGUUUGAUGUUCUAACGUUGACCCGUAAUCCGGGUUGCGGACAGUGUCUGGUGGGUAGUUUGACUGGGGCGGUCUCCUCCUAAAGAGUAACGGAGGAGCACGAAGGUUGGCUAAUCCUGGUCGGACAUCAGGAGGUUAGUGCAAUGGCAUAAGCCAGCUUGACUGCGAGCGUGACGGCGCGAGCAGGUGCGAAAGCAGGUCAUAGUGAUCCGGUGGUUCUGAAUGGAAGGGCCAUCGCUCAACGGAUAAAAGGUACUCCGGGGAUAACAGGCUGAUACCGCCCAAGAGUUCAUAUCGACGGCGGUGUUUGGCACCUCGAUGUCGGCUCAUCACAUCCUGGGGCUGAAGUAGGUCCCAAGGGUAUGGCUGUUCGCCAUUUAAAGUGGUACGCGAGCUGGGUUUAGAACGUCGUGAGACAGUUCGGUCCCUAUCUGCCGUGGGCGCUGGAGAACUGAGGGGGGCUGCUCCUAGUACGAGAGGACCGGAGUGGACGCAUCACUGGUGUUCGGGUUGUCAUGCCAAUGGCACUGCCCGGUAGCUAAAUGCGGAAGAGAUAAGUGCUGAAAGCAUCUAAGCACGAAACUUGCCCCGAGAUGAGUUCUCCCUGACCCUUUAAGGGUCCUGAAGGAACGUUGAAGACGACGACGUUGAUAGGCCGGGUGUGUAAGCGCAGCGAUGCGUUGAGCUAACCGGUACUAAUGAACCGUGAGGCUUAACCUU
rnacentral:rRNA from 1 species